GGGAGUGUGGUGGAAGGGUCAACACAUCUGAUUUAGGGUCUGAUUUUUGUAGGUUCGAAUCCUACCGCUUCUA
rnacentral:tRNA from 1 species